GCUACAUGAAGUGACAAAGCAGAUUGAAGGACACACAAUCUGUGCCUUAGGUGAUGCUGCUGCUUGGCCAGUUCAAGGUCUUAUCAGGCACUUCCGACCAGAGCUUGAGCGAAGGAUCAGGGAGCAUGCUGAGAGAGAGUUACUGCAGGCUGCUGCUUCUUGAUCCUUUUAUAUGGGUUGGUAUUAUAUCUUUUUUUUUUUGCUUGUUUCAUACACAGUAGUAGACAUGAUUAGACAUUGCAUAGACAAAAUUUUAAACUUCUUUUUCUUCCUUAAGCAUGUCAAGUCUUGUUUAAUAUUGCAUGCCUUUGGAAUGUAAGUCAUUCCUUUCACAAUAAUCCACUAGAGAUCGUUUGACAAAAAUUAAAAUUGAUUAUGGGCUUGAAAGGUAGAAGUCAUUAUUUUCACAAUAGUCCACUAGCAUAUUGUAAGUCUUAACUUAGCAUAAGACACGUCUAAUCAAGCUCUUUCAACCAUUUCUAAUGGUUGAAGUACCUAUGCAAAUAAUGCCCUCAAUUAUCUUACUAGAUUCAUCGAGAAUGAAGCCCAUAGAUUUCUUACUUUCGGCAUCUUAAAGUAAGGAUUACAAGAGUUGUAAAAUACAAUUUCUUUCAAACAAUUCGUUGAUGGAGGAGCUUAAUUUGUGUUGCCAAAUGACUCGUUUGCAGAGGAGGUUAAUUUAUGUUACCAUUGACCAAUCGUGAUUAAGGUAGUGAAUGUGGUAGUUCAACAUAGCUAAGAACAUUUUUAAAGUUUACUACAUUUGGUUUAGCGACUCUGAUAGUGACAUCAUCAAGUACCAAUUACUUCUUUUCAACACCUUCAAAUAUCAGUUACUAUCUUCAACGUGGAAAAGAUAAAAUUUGCAAUUAUGUUUCUUUGUCUAGUAACACUUAUUACCAUGUUGAACAGUAGUAAUUGAUUUUUGAUGAUUUUAUUCGUAGAGUCACCAAAUUAGGUAUAAUAAACUUUUAAAAUGUUCUUAUCGAAAAUCAGGUUGAAUAGCCCGCCUUCAUUGGCUCAGACACCUUUGAUCGAUGGUAACAUAAAUUACCUCAUCUGCCAAUGAAUUGUUUGGAAGAUAUUGUAUCUUACAACUUUUGUGAUCUUGAUCCUAAGGUACCCUUUUUAUAGAAAAUACAGUUCGUUUGAGAUAAGACGAUUCUGGUUGGAUAGAAAUUGAGGGCAUUUGUUCCAUAGGUUCAACCAUAAAAAAUGGUUUGUAUGAGCUGGAUUAGUCUUAUAAUAUGGUAGUGAAUAUUGCCUCCAUUUGGGUUUCAUUUAUUUUGCUAAAAUUCUACUUUUCAAGAAACAAGUGGUUGAUAAGUGGGUAAGAAAUAAUUAAUGUUUGACAGUGGUUACUACGAAAUGUGUAGUUAAAAUUAAUGUUUGAUUUUGAAAAGUAGAAGUUUAGGAUGAGAAAAUGAAACCCAAACGGAGGCGUUGUGAAAAGAAUGGCUUCUACCCUCUAAGACGAUAAUAUGUCUCUAUUUUUUACGAAGGUUGUGGUUGGAAAACUAGUUUCCAGUAAUGUGGCGUAUCUUUGUAUUGAUCACCGCUAAAACUAGUGAUAAUGUCUAUGAUGCUCGGAUUUGGUUAAAGGUACGUAUUUAAGCAUUGGAUCUUUUAUUUACCAUGAUAUUUUUUUAAUUAAAAUGAUCUUAUCCAAAUCAAAAGAACUAAAAAGCACAUUUAAGAAAUAAUAAACCUCAUGUAAUUUGCUCAAUCAAUAAGACUAUAAAAUUCAAAGAAAGAGAUAAAUAAACCAAACUAAUAAAGCUUUUAAGCUAUAAAUAAGCUUCAACCACAAUUAAUUAAAAAAAGGCCCAAAAAUUAAAACAAAAAACAGGCCCUCCCAACUACAACACCCUCUUUCUUCUUCCCUAAACCAGAACGUGACUCUCUGCAACAAUGGCAGCAGCAGCCACUAAGUCCAACAGUUUCCACAUCUGGCAGCGUUCGGUUGAAAUUUGCCGUGUCCGCCUGUAUUUUAUACCCAUACCCGUACCCGUGUCAUGUUGUGUCGACACAGGUACUUCGGCCAAAAAGAAGGGUCCGAGCAUCACAGGAUAAUGCAACUAAGAUCCUCUUUUUAAUGCAUUUUUAUCUUCUGCUCAUUUUUUUGAAUCUGGAGAAAGGUUUGAUUUGUUUGUGCAAUCAAGUUAUUUUGGAUAACUAGUCGAAAAGUUACAGGAAAAUUUCUGCAUAACAAUCAAUAGCCUGUUUUUGAACAAUCUAGAUUCUAGAAUGAACUUUUUCUUCUUUAGCAUGGAAGUGCNCCAAUAUUUGGUUAACAGAGGUGCAAUUAUGUGUAUUUCCCACUUUUUCGAUUAGUAACCUGAAAUAUUUUGCAAUAUUUCGUCUGCUAUUCUUCUUUUGUAGGGAAAUGCAAACUAGAUCCAGUUGAAUAAACUUACAAAUUUUGGAGAGAUAUUUUAGAAUGCCAUCCAUUCCAAGAAGCAGUGCGUUUAAUGUAAUGAUUGUACCAGACAAUACUUCAUUAAGAUUCUAUGAUUAUUUCUUGACGUGUCUAAAAAUUUGCCUCUUCUGUUUUGGCUACGAGGGUGAAAGAAUAUUUGUUAUCAGUUUGUCUGCUUAGAUAUUUUGGUCAAUAAGUUGAGCUCCCUUAUGAUGUUUACAACUCAUGCAUUGGGGGCUCACAUAUACUUCCAUAUAUGGGAGCCAUGCUUUGCAUGUUAAUCUGAUGAUCUCAGCCGGAAUCAGAGCUGUUCAAUUGCUGGGGUUAUUGAUCCCAAUUCCCUAUGGAAAAUUUAUAUAUGCAGUUCAUACGACCAAGCUUGUUAGGCUGUGAUUCAAUGUUUUGUGUACUCGGAAGUAAUUUGCAUCCCUUUCGCUCNCCAAAUUCAUUGUUGCUAUUUAACUCGCACAUGGUGCACCCUUUGAAACCAUCGCCAGAAAUUGACCCAGCACAAGUUUUACAUCUUGAUUGGAAUUGGUGAUGCCUCUUAGAAUUAUAAUUGCUUUCUUAAAACCCCAAAAAUAUGUUUGGUAUGCAGUAGUAAAUUGACGGGAGGAUUAGACAAGACUGAAUUGUGCACUUGACUUCGACUUAUUGAAAUCAAGUUGGGUCUCAUGCUCGUCCAUGUCUUAUAUUCUUUUGGUAAUAGUUAUCUACUGACUGUAAUUAGUUGCUUUGCUUCCUUCACCUGAAAACUACAUUAAAGAAAAGAAAUUUUUACACUCCAGCUCAAAAAUUGUAUUUUCUUUAUGUCUUGUCUUUUUAGUUUUUUGGUUGCUCAUAUUAUUUCAUACUUACUUUUCUUUCUUUUCCCUUUUCUGGAAAUUAGGUAAUGGCCGUGUGCCCCCAUUAAAGUGUGCAUUACUUUUAUACAAGUGACCUCAAUAGUAAAACUUGUCUCUCCAACUACUUUUCAUCAUUAUAGCUACAGGGGUUGGAGAAUCUUAUCUCAAAGAAAGACAAGUGAAUACAUCUGUCGUAUGAAGUGAUCGUGCUCAAGACCUAUGGGAUUAAGAACUGCGUUUUGAAUCUCGACGAGGGGCUAUUUAGAGCACUAGGGUAUGUCCCCGACAACAUCGUCGUAGAAAUUUAUUACAGAAUGGUUUUGACUUGUAACAACAAAAUUUUGGGCUUUAAUAGAUUUUAUUGGACAUUUUUAAAACUUUUUAAGUUUUUAAUCUAAAGAAGACAACUUUAGUGUAUCUAUGGUAAAGUUUAACUAUUUUUCAAAGGAUUAUUCUAGUGAUUCCUAAAGGGAUACUAAUGGACACCCUUCAGUAUAUGGUGAUGUAUCACUAGAAUAAUCCUUUUUUAAAAUGGCCAAAUAUAAUUUUUAUUAGCAUUUUGUAAGAUUC
rnacentral:lncRNA from 1 species